CCGCCUUGAAUUAUAAUUACCACC
rnacentral:siRNA from 1 species